GACGAACGCUGGCGGCGUGCCUAAUACAUGCAAGUCGAACGAGAGCGACCGGUGCUUGCACUGGUCAAUCUAGUGGCGAACGGGUGAGUAACACGUGGGUAACCUGCCCAUCAGAGGGGGAUAACAUUCGGAAACGGAUGCUAAAACCGCAUAGGUCUUCGAGCCGCAUGGCUUGAAGAGGAAAAGAGGCGCAAGCUUCUGCUGAUGGAUGGACCCGCGGUGCAUUAGCUAGUUGGUGAGGUAACGGCUCACCAAGGCCGUGAUGCAUAGCCGACCUGAGAGGGUGAUCGGCCACAUUGGGACUGAGACACGGCCCAAACUCCUACGGGAGGCAGCAGUAGGGAAUCUUCCGCAAUGGACGCAAGUCUGACGGAGCAACGCCGCGUGAGUGAAGAAGGUUUUCGGAUCGUAAAACUCUGUUGUUAGAGAAGAACAAGUGCUAGAGUAACUGUUAGCG
rnacentral:rRNA from 1 species